AUACAACAACGACAACAACUCGGGACUAGAAUACCAGGCGAAAAGAAAAAAGCGAGUCCGCGAGCGGUGCCGACGGUCACCACGGGCAAAAUGCAUUGCGAGGACAGAGGGAUAAAGAGAGAGAGAGAGAGAGAGAGAGAGAGAGAGAGAGAGGACAUUAUCAAGGGUAGCCGGCGGGCGGGCUCAAGUCGCCGCGGGCGGCCAUCGCCCAAAGGGCCUCGCGCGUGACCAGCCUCUCCGUGGGCACCCAGUAGAUGCCCUUCUUGAGGUAGCGCUGGUCAAAGACAGCGCGCGCCGGGAUGAACCCAUCAAAGCGCAGCACAGGCGCGGCCAGGUCGUCCGAGUCGAUCGGCUUGCCGUUCACAUAAUUCACAUAGACGAAAAGCGCGUAGAGGUCGGGCGGAUUUUUGCUCUUGUGCGGCUGCACGCGCAGUUUGCCUGUGUCGACGCUGCUCACCUUGACGUCAAAGGUCCACCCCUCGGGGCAGAGCGUACCGUCAAAGGCUGUCUCGGUCGACGCGCUGCGACAGGUCGUGUCAAACAGGUGGCGCGUCGGCAGGCCAAACAGGUGAGCAAGCAUAAACUCGCCAAAGUAGCCCUGUGCCGAGAUGUCGUACGACGAGCGAUCCCUCAUCUCGCGCCGAUCGACCACACCCGCCUUCCGGUUCGUCUCCUGGACUUGGCGCGCAAUGUCGCGCGCGGCGCGCAUGUACUCUGCCGGCAGCGUGUGCAGGCUGCGCAACGGCACGGCAGCCGUCGCGGCCGCGAUGAUUGCGCGCGUCCAGCGUGGACCGCUAGACGACGCCAGACGCGGUCGGGCCGCGCUCUCGGCCACCCAGGGCGCCCGACGUCGCGGGGUCUUGGGCCCGCCGGUACGCAGCAGCAUCCCAUCGCGGUCUGCCAUUGACGUCGCGCCCCUUUUUUUCUUUAUCUUGCCUCGCGAUGGAUGGCCGAUGCAGGUCGAGAGCGACGACAAAAAGGGGUUUGCUCUUCCUUUGGCGAUUUGUGUGUGUGUGUGUGUGUGCGGGCCGCCGAUCGGGUGCAAAAUAAAAACAGACAACAAGAGAA
rnacentral:lncRNA from 1 species